GAAUCAUUCAAAUUUCUGCCCUAUCAACUUUCGAUGGUAGGAUAAAGGCCUACCAUGGUGGUAACGGGUAACGGGGUGUUAGGGCACGACACCGGAGAGGGAGCCUGAGAAACGGCUACCACAUCCAAGGAUGGCAGCAGGCGCGCAAAUUACCCAAUCCCGACCGGGGAGGUAGUGACAAUAAAUAACAAUACGGGGUUCUUUCGGAUUUCGUAAUUGGAAUGAGUACAAUUUAAAUCUCUUAACGAGGAACAAUUGGAGGGCAAGUCUGGUGCCAGCAGCCGCGGUAAUUCCAGCUCCAAUAGCGUAUAUUAAAGUUGUUGCAGUUAAAAAGCUCGUAGUUG
rnacentral:rRNA from 1 species